GUAAGCAUUAGAUGUAUCUAUGUUGGGCUGAAAUCCAUUUCCUCAUCUGUCACCAAGAGCAAUCUAGAGCUUGACAGAGCAAAGCCAUUCUGUGUUCCAAGUUCCAUGUUCCUUUGGGCAGCUCUGGAAGCAACACCAGUUACUCAGUCCCAGAUUCCUAAUAACAUUGAGACACAGAUUUCUCUGGUUUCACAAGUUAAUUAGCUAAAGUCAGGGUCUGUAACUAACUAGUUGAGAUAACUUGGGAAGGUUAUAGAACCUCUUUGAAUAUCAGGAUCCACAUCCUUGAACUGAGUUACAGCAAAAGAAUUUGGGUUUCAAGUGCCUGCCCUCUCAGUAGCUUAACUUUAAUGAACCUCAGUCUGUUAAUCCACAAAUGAGGACUAAAGUACCUGCCCUCAAUUCGUCAUAGGAUUGAUGAGAACAAAUGCGACAGUGUUUGUAAAAGUGAUUUGUCGCCUGUUACCGAUGUUGCUGCUGCUGCCAUUCUUAAGGGCCUGGCAGGAGGUUCUCUUUCUAGACUGGGUUAAGACAGGAAAUACAUUAAAAAAACAAAAUAAAACCACUUUUGCUCCAAGUCACCCUAAACAACUAGGAAGUGUUUGGGAUAUGAAUGCGUAGGAAAACCAGGAGGGGUUAUUCAAAAAAUUAUUUUCCUAAUCUAUGGCUCAAGUUCUGAGUUUUAGCCAGCUUCUAGAGGUGUCUGGGAAAGAGCCAAGUUCAGCUCUUAGAAGAUCAAAUUGGGGAGAAGUGCAUGUAUUGUUCUGGAAUAAAUUAAGCAAAACACAGGAUGACAACCAUUCUUUUGAUCCCUUCCUCUGUCCAAGUCAAGAACUAGCUCCUCUUGACUUUAGAGACUUUAAGAAAAAAGUGGACACAAAAGAGUUCUUUUGUAAAGAAUCACAAGAAAAUAAAAUGCUGGGUGUGUUCUUUCCUGGCCACCUCUCCUCUUCAUACCUCUUUCUUGUAGCAUUAAACAGAACAACAGAACUCUGUAUGCAACUCACAGAUGAAACCAUUACAGAACUAGGAAGGUAUUUCCCUCCCGGAUGUGGACCUGAGACUCCACAGGUAUGGCCCAGGGCUACUUCUCAGCAGCACCAAUGGUCAGUGGGGCUCCUCAUAGAUCCAUGCACACCCAUUCCAUUCCUGGGGUAUGCCAGGUGAGUUAUGACCUUCCUGGUUCUCAUGAUGUCCUGUUUUUGUCUAAGAGUGUCCUGUGGCCCUUUCAACCAGUCUAACACAAAGAGAAUGGGGCUGCUUUCAGGAGCCCGAGGGUCUGGCGUCUGUGCUGCUUACACAUGAGCAAUUUUAGUAUCCAGAGAUUCACAUCAGGAGCUAAUUAAAGACAAUCCUAAAUUAUUUAUCUGGGUUAGAUUUCUGUUCACGCUUCUUCAGAAUAAAAAUUCUAUUUCCCUGAUAUUAUCAUAAACCAUCUUAAUGAAUCACAAAUGUUUGUUUUUGUGCCUCUCUGUUAAUUUUUGUUUUGGCUCUGACCUUGGUUUAUAAAAGAGCAAGCUUCAAGAUUUCUACAGUCCUUGCUACCACCAAGUGUAAUCAGCUGAGAAAAUGUUUUGUAGCACUGGUAAAACCAUCUGAUAAUGGCCUGAAUUUAUAUUUAGGGAUAACAGAAUAGGGACUUUGAAGCCUUAUCAUUGAAAAACACUCAAAAGCAAGCAAAAUAUAAAAUACACAUAAUUUUUAAAAGAUCAAGUUACCCAUAAUUAGAGUACUGGUUCUCAAGCUUUUGUAUUUUUCUGUUACCUCAGUAGGUCCUUGGUGUAGCCAUUCCAACUCUGGUUUUUGUUUCUGUUUUUGUGGCACGGAGGAUUGAAU
rnacentral:lncRNA from 1 species